GCAGAGAAAAAUACGGAAGAGGAAAAAGAAAAAAAAUAGAAUUGAGGGUCAUAGUGCAAGAGACGGGAUCGGUGUUCAACUAGUUUGUUUAUCACAUUUCAGGAAUAAGAUAUCGGUGAAAUUAUUUGUUGACAUGGGUCGUAGGAACUCCACAUGUUAUCAGGGUCGGCGGCUGACGCAUUUUGGCAACCUUCUCCUCCUCAUCAUUUUUGUAUAUAGAUAAAUGUAUAAUAGUAUAUAGAGUGGUGAGAGGGUCUCGCUACUGUUUAGAAUGUUUGAAAUAUGUUCUUGAUAAAUGUUGAUUUUUGAAAUGAUAUAAUAUGUGCGUUUUAUGUACU